rnacentral:rRNA from 1 species
GAUGAACGCUGGCGGCGUGCCUAAUACAUGCAAGUCGAGCGAACAGACGAGGAGCUUGCUCCUCUGACGUUAGCGGCGGACGGGUGAGUAACACGUGGAUAACCUACCUAUAAGACUGGCAUAACUUCGGGAAACCGGAGCUAAUACCGGUAAAUAUAUUGAACCGCAUGGUUCAAUAGUGAAAGACGGUUUUGCUGUCACUUAUAGAUGGAUCCGCGCCGCAUUAGCUAGUUGGGAAGGUAACGGCUUACCAAGGCAACGAUGCGUAGCCGACCUGAGAGGGUGGUCAGCCACACUGGAACUGAAACGCGGUCCAGACUACUACGGUAGGCAGCAGUGGGGUAUCUUCCACAAUUGGCGAAAGCCUGACGGGACAACGCCGCGUGAGUGAUGAAAGUCUUCGGAUCGUAAUACUCUGUUAUUAGGGAAGAACAAAUGUGUAAGUAACUAUGCACGUCUUGACGGUACCUAAUCAGAAAGCCACGGCUAACUACGUG